rnacentral:sRNA from 1 species
AUAAAUCAUAAAAUCAUAGACUUAAUCUUAAAAAGUAGGUAAUACAGUUGACAGUGCAAACACCAGAGAAGAAAAUCAUUCCUGUGCGUGGUGGGUAAGACCCAGGAGGCUGUGGGCUCGAGGUCUACACGGAAGACUUUGGAGUUUGGACACACGGAUUGAGCAGUAGCCUCCUUUCUACCUUUCAGACUCUGAGACGAAGUUUACUGCUGCUAUCUUAAUCCUAUGAAUUCACAAACUAGGGUGGACACUGGAGAUAAGUAUGAAGGGGAGUAAAAGGAUCUUAAAAUCCAGUUUUUAGGACCACUUGGCAAGGAUUCUUAGACACUUUCGGGAUACAAUCCUGAAACUAGGCUACACUUGCAGGAGGUAGGACGCGAGUAUGGCCACCUCUCUCAUGUGUUGGCUUCAGUCUUAGAUUUCUAUGUUUCUCAUUCCAUACUCUCCCAUUAAAGCUUCUAUUUUCACUCCCAUUUAUCACAUACAUAUAUUGACUUGAAGCUUCCAAGAAAAUGUUUCUGAGUUCCUACUGCCACUACAUACAUGUACCCAAUACGUAAGUAUCAGUCAAAAACAUUUUUCGCCCGUCUAGUUGAUAACUUCAUUUCAAAAGGAAACAUGUCAGUGUCAGAAAACAGCAGGACUAUUAUACACUUAUAUGCAAUUGAAAUACGUCAGAACACUAGCAUAAAAUUAAGUUGAACUGACUUCAAAUAUCUAUACUUAUAUAUUAAAACUUUAAUACCAUUGUUAAUCGUAAACAGGCACGUGCUUCAUUGAGAAAUUACCCUAAUAACUGAAAAACUACUAUUUCCUCCUACAGAGGGGCCUUGUGCUCUUCCAUAGCACGGAAUUACAAAGAGGACUCCAUUUGUGCAAGAGAUCGGGUUCACAUGGCCUACUCUUCCUGAUCACCCAUCCCACCGAUCUUCUUCACUCUCACUUUAUGAUCACACCAAAACCCUGUAAGCUCUUUGAAAGCAAGGAUGGAGUCCUUGUAGGCACUACAUAACCUUGCAAGAAGCCUGUCACAUGAUCAAAAUUCCAAUAAUUUUCUCCAUCAGAUGAUUUCUCUACCUUGGUGGAGAAAACAGGCUAAGGACUUAGGGUGGAGCUUGCAGGGCCAAGUCUUACUGCUGCUUUUUUCCUGGUGAUGUAAGUAAUCCUUUCUCUCUUCUUUCCCUUCUCCGGUCCUUACCCUCCCUUCCUACC